rnacentral:rRNA from 1 species
UAACACAUGCAAGUCGAGGGGUAACAGGGAUUGCUUGCAAUCCGCUGACGACCGGCGCACGGGUGCGUAACGCGUAUGCAACCUACCUUUUACAGGGGGAUAGUCAAUAGAAAUGUUGAAUAAUACCCCAUACGAUCUUUAAAUAGCAUUAUUUAAAGGAGAAAGCUCCGGCGGUAGAAGAUGGGCAUGCGUCCUAUUAGUUAGUUGGUAAGGUAACGGCUUACCAAGACUUCGAUAGGUAGGGGUCCUGAGAGGGAGACCCCCCACACUGGUACUGAGACACGGACCAGACUCCUACGGGAGGCAGCAGUGAGGAAUAUUGGACAAUGGAGGCAACUCUGAUCCAGCCAUGCCGCGUGCAGGAAGACUGCCCUAUGGGUUGUAAACUGCUUUUAUACAGGAAGAAAUAUACCUACGUGUAGGUAUUCGACGGUACUUACGAAUAAGAUCGGCUAACUCCGUGCCAGCAGCCGCGGUAAUACGGACGAUCCAAGCGUUAUCCGGAAUCAUUGGGUUUAAAGGGUCCGUAGGCGGUCUUUUAAGUCAGAGGUGAAAUCCUACAGCUCAACUGUAGAAUUGCCUUUGAUACUGAAAGACUUGAGUUAUUGUGAAGUAGUUAGAAUGUGUGGUGUAGCGGUGAAAUGCAUAGAGAUCACACAGAAUACCGAUUGCGAAGGCAGAUUACUAACAAUAUACUGACGCUGAGGGACGAAAGCGUGGGUAGCGAACAGGAUUAGAUACCCUGGUAGUCCACGCCGUAAACGAUGGAUACUAGCUGUUCGACCAACAUUGGUUGGUUGAGUGGCUAAGCGAAAGUGAUAAGUAUCCCACCUGGGGAGUACGGUCGCAAGACUGAAACUCGAAGGAAUUGACGGGGGCCCGCACAAGCGGUGGAGCAUGUGGUUUAAUUCGAUGAUACGCGAGGAACCUUACCAGGGCUUAAAUGUAAGUUGCAUGAUUUAGAGAUAGAUCUUUCUUCGGACUACUUACAAGGUGCUGCAUGGUUGUCGUCAGCUCGUGCCGUGAGGUGUCAGGUUAAGUCCUAUAACGAGCGCAACCCCUGUCGUUAGUUGCCAGCAAGUUAAGUUGGGCACUCUAGCGAGACUGCCAGUGCAAACUGUGAGGAAGGUGGGGAUGACGUCAAAUCAUCACGGCCCUUACGUCCUGGGCUACACACGUGCUACAAUGGUCGGUACAGAGAGCAGCCACUACGCGAGUAGGAGCGAAUCUAUAAAACCGAUCUCAGUUCGGAUCGCAGUCUGCAACUCGACUGCGUGAAGCUGGAAUCGCUAGUAAUCGGAUAUCAGCCAUGAUCCGGUGAAUACGUUCCCGGGCCUUGUACACACCGCCCGUCAAGCCAUGGAAGCUGGGAGUACCUGAAGUCGGUUACCGCAAGGAGCUGCCUAGGGUAAAUCUGGUAACUGGGCUA